GACGUAGGGCGCGAGCGUUGUCCGGAUUUAUUGGGCGUAAAGAGCUCGUAGGCGGUUUGUUGCGUCGGCUGUGAAAUCCCGAGGCUCAACCUCGGGUCUGCAGUCGAUACGAGCAAACUAGAGUGUUGCAGGGGGGACUGGAAUUCCUGGUGUAGCGGUGAAAUGCGCAGAUAUCAGGAGGAACACCGGUGGCGAAGGCGGGUCUCUGGGCAACAACUGACGCUGAGGAGCGAAAGCGUGGGGAGCGAACAGG
rnacentral:rRNA from 1 species